CAAGCAGAUGUUCCUGGGAGGCACGCUCUGCCCACUCUACUAUUUUGCUUAGGGCUCAGGGGCCCCCAUCUAGGGUGUCCAAAGGCAGAAGAAAAGUGACAAAGCAGGAGGGCACCCCACUUCCCGAUGCACAAAGCUGGAGGAUCCUCGAGAGGGCAAAUGUGAAGGUCUGAGGCGGCUUCAGGGCUGCAAUUUUCCGGAUGGUAGGGGAAAACCAAGGCACAGAGAGAUGAUCUACCCAAAGUCACUCAGUAAGUCAGAAAACCAACUGAACAAAGGGCAAGGUAAGAUCACCUGUGUACCUUUCAGUGUCUCAUCCAGAAAGCCAGACUGUGUCCUUCUCGAGUGAACAGACAUACUUUAGAAGAAGGUAGUUUUAGGUGGAACUUUCUAUUAUGGUUCCAAAGCUCUCUAGGAAAUCAGGAGCCACAAGGUAAGAACCCGUAAGUAUCAGAUUAACCCUUUAGUUAAAUGCCUCUGACUCACAGACAAUGUCAAUUAUUACAGCUAGCUGCUGAUAAACUGGUGACCAACAAGAAGAAAAUUUGAGGGAAAAAUUCACCCCUUCAAGAAAGAAACCUUGGCACAGCUCUCCUCCUGGUUACACAUCUGAAAUGUAACACCCAAGUACUGCUCCCUCUACACAAUGAUUUUGUAUCUGCUGGCAGGCAAUUGGGGCGGGGGUGCAGAUGGAGUGUGUGUAUGUAUAUGUGUGUGCAUAACAUCAGACAUUUUAGGGACAAUUCUGCCCAGCAGAA